UGUGAGCUCGAUGAGUAGGGCGGGACACGUGGUAUCCUGUCUGAAUAUGGGGGGACCAUCCUCCAAGGCUAAAUACUCCUGACUGACCGAUAGUGAACCAGUACCGUGAGGGAAAGGCGAAAAGAACCCCGGCGAGGGGAGUGAAAAAGAACCUGAAACCGUGUACGUACAAGCAGUGGGAGCACAGGUUUACCUGUGUGACUGCGUACCUUUUGUAUAAUGGGUCAGCGACUUAUAUUCUGUAGCAAGGUUAACCGUAUAGGGGAGCCGUAGGGAAACCGAGUCUUAAUUGGGCGUUAAGUUGCAGGGUAUAGACCCGAAACCCGGUGAUCUAGCCAUGGGCAGGUUGAAGGUUGGGUAACACUAACUGGAGGACCGAACCGACUAAUGUUGAAAAAUUAGCGGAUGACCUGUGGCUGGGGGUGAAAGGCCAAUCAAACCGGGAGAUAGCUGGUUCUCCCCGAAAGCUAUUUAGGUAGCGCCUCGUGAAUUCAUCUCCGGGGGUAGAGCACUGUUUCGGCUAGGGGGCCAUCCCGGCUUACCAACCCGAUGCAAACUGCGAAUACCGGAGAAUGUUAUCACGGGAGACACACGGCGGGUGCUAACGUCCGUCGUGAAGAGGGAAACAACCCAGACCGCCAGCUAAGGUCCCAAAGUCAUGGUUAAGUGGGAAACGAUGUGGGAAGGCCCAGACAGCCAGGAUGUUGGCUUAGAAGCAGCCAUCAUUUAAAGAAAGCGUAAUAGCUCACUGGUCGAGUCGGCCUGCGCGGAAGAUGUAACGGGGCUAAACCAUGCACCGAAGCUGCGGCAGCGACGCUUAUGCGUUGUUGGGUAGGGGAGCGUUCUGUAAGCCUGUGAAGGUGGCCUGUGAGGGUUGCUGGAGGUAUCAGAAGUGCGAAUGCUGACAUAAGUAACGAUAAAGCGGGUGAAAAGCCCGCUCGCCGGAAGACCAAGGGUUCCUGUCCAACGUUAAUCGGGGCAGGGUGAGUCGACCCCUAAGGCGAGGCCGAAAGGCGUAGUCGAUGGGAAACGGGUUAAUAUUCCCGUACUUGGUGUUACUGCGAAGGGGGGACGGAGAAGGCUAUGUUGGCCGGGCGACGGUUGUCCCGGUUUAAGCGUGUAGGUGUGUGUUCCAGGUAAAUCCGGUU
rnacentral:rRNA from 1 species